GUCUAGGUUUCCAACUGGGAUUGCAUUCUUUCGUCACCUAUAUAGUUUCAUAAUUCUAUGUUUAACAUGUUACACAAAGCCUAACUCUACUUUCACUUAUAUUACAAAACAGUUCACAAGAGGAUUACCUCAGUGAAUCUCAUCCUCUGAAAAAAGAAUAGAGCCUGAAAUAGCACAUAUGGAAGAUUUUCUAGUAUGGGAAGUCACUUUAAAAGGCUUCAUCAACUCUGGAAAUGAGAGGCUACUUAAAGGUUUAACUCUUUAAAAAAGAAUGCAAGAUUGAAAACUAAAAAGAAUACUUACUGCUCAGUUUCCAUUUGUUCCUCCUGCUUGCGUUUCCGAUCUCCAGCUUCUUUCUCAUGUUGGCCUUUUAGCAUGUUCCUCCUGUGAGCAGCCUGGAAGUUCCUUCCACCCUUUCUCUUCUGUUUGAGAACAGGAAGGAUGUAUUAAUAGUAACUCUCAAGUUAGUGGUUGGAGACUAAUAAUUACAAUCAUGGUAGGUAGAAAACAAAGCGACUAAGCUUAAGCCUAACAAACAGGAACACAGGUCUACUGACUGGAUAUUCUUCUUCUUUAGAAGUGAGCUAAGAAGCUAGCCAAAGUUGCUGGCUUUGAGCAGGCCAUGGUGGCACACACCCUUAACCUCAGCACUUAGGAGACAGAGCCUAGGUAGAUCCCUGUGAAUUCAAGGCCAGCCAGGUCUGCAGAGCAAGUCAGCCAGGUUGAAAUUACAAUGGAUAAAGAUUAAAGUUUAAUGUAUAAAUGCACCUUUUGUGUCUUUGAUCACAGACAUCUGGGUUAUCUACAACGUGUCUAUAUAGCUGGAGUACUGGAAGUUUACCUAUGUUCUAGAAAUUAAUUAUACUAUAAAAUAUAAAGUAUUUUUCAUAUAAACUGUAUACAUUUCAGUUAUGUAAUAUAUUAAAACAUAAAUAAUAAAGAAACCCAUAAAUCUUUUAAUAUUUGUUAAAGGUUAUUUAUACAUAUUAUAAUAUGUAUAUCUAGGAAAUAAAUUUACAAUGUAAUUGGGGAAAUAACCCCAUGGAUUAAAUGCUUCUUGUCCAAGAAUGAGGACCUGCCUUCAGAUCCCUAGCAUCCCCAUAGAAGUUGAGUAUGGCUGCAUAUAUCUGUACUUGAGGUGGCAGGGUAGAUAAGCUAACUAACUUCAGAUGGGGUAAUAAGCAGUCUAGCUUCAGAUUCAUUGAGACCCUGUCUCAAAAUGUAAAAGUGGUGGGGCCCAAUAGAUGGCACUACUUAAGGCUCAAUUCCCAACAUCCACGUGGAGGGAGUUUUGUGCCUAUCUCCAGUUUUCUAAGAGAUCUGUCUACACAUACUGCAGGCAAAGCAGUCACAUGAAGAAGAAAACAAUUAGCAUGAGGAAAAUGGAGCUGGGGACAUUGUUCAGCACUUUAAGAGGACCAAAACUCACAAUUCCCAUGGAACUGUGGUGGCCCACCUAUAAUUGCAGCCAAAGUUGCCACCAAGAUUAGCCUCAUGAGUUCGUGAGAGUUUGCUUGAGAGACACUACCCGCAUCAACCUUAGGCCUCCACAUCCCAUAUGCUGCACGAACACCUCACACAGAAACACACGGGGAGACAAACUGGCAAGGAGUUUCGAAUGUGGAUUCGCUACCUUUUCACCCUCUUGAUCGUCUUCGUCUUCUGAAUCAGAGGUUGAUGUAACCCCUGGUUUAGCUAAAUUUUUCCGUUUAGAUUCAACUUCUUUCUUCCCUUCUUUCUUAUCUGGUUCUUUUCUUGGCUUCUCUUCUUCCUUUUGGCCUUCUUCCUCUUUUUUAAGCUGCUUUUUAGGUUGUUUCUCCUCUGGUCCCUUUUUUUUACUUUUAUCUUCAUCAAUAACCCUACAUUAAGAGUUCAAGAGCAGAAGAUUUCAUUUAUACUUUUUCUUUCUUGAAAGAACUAUUUGUAUUUACUCAAGUGUCUGUGUGAGGAGCUAAGUUUCUGGAUGUGGGUGCUGGGAACCAAACUCUGCUCUACUAGAAGAAUAAUCAGUAAGUGCUCAGCCAUCUCUUCACCCUUUAUUUAUACUCUCCUUUACCAAACAAGGAUUUCACGAGGGAAAAUUAUGGCAAAAUUUAUGUUUAAAAAAAAAUACAGUUUGUCAUUCUAUUGUAAAACGGAAUUUUCAUUAUAUACAAUUUUUUGGAUGUUUCUUGCUCCUAUUUAGCAUAUAAACCCAAGGCCCUAUUAAAUUGAAUUACAUUUCACAUGUUUAUAAAAAUCACAGUCAUUUGUAGGGAUUGAACAUAACGUUAACCUAAUGACCAGUUACUUUUAACUGUCAUCCAAGCUAUGAAGAUCCCACAGGGAAUAGCGACAUAAAUGGUUCAAUCAGUUUAACUCAAGAAUCUAUUUUCUCUGCAGUUUUUAAGUAUAUUAACUGUUACUGUGUCUACAUUUUGAUGUUUUUUAAAGAGACAAAAGUUUUACUAUGUUACCCUUGCUGGCUGCAAAUGCCAAGGGACAUGAAUAACACAGUCUUGC
rnacentral:lncRNA from 1 species